rnacentral:lncRNA from 1 species
UCUGCUAUGACCUGCUUUCUACUGGGGACAUGGCCACAUGCCAGCCUGCCAGCUCGGACUCUUACAGUCAGUCAUUGAAGUCUCCUUUAAAUGAUGUAUCUGAUGAUGAUGACGAUGAUGAUAGCAGUGACUAAGGACACAUUUUGAAAUAUUUAAUUGGGUGUGGCUAUUUGGGAAAUCAGCUUUGUGGAAAAUGUAAAAUUCUGAGCUCUCUCAAUUUUGCUCUAGCCAUGAAUUUGCCUGAGAAACUUUGAACCUAUGUGCCUCAAUGUAUUCUAUAGAAAAUAUAAAGCACAGAUCUACUUAAGCUUGAAAAUCUGGAGAAAUAAUGUGUAAAAAUGGGCAAGGCAGACCACUUUAAAUUUGACUAGACUUCGUAUCUGUGGGACUAUUACCUAUUGCAGUGUGAAACUAUCUUGAAUUUACAAAGGUAGUACUAUAUUUUAUAAAGUUUUGUAAAAUCUCAAGCACUAUUUCUAUUUUUGUAAGACAGUUGUAUGUUUAAUCUGUUUAUGAAAUCAUUUUGCAACCUAUGGAAAUAGAGUAGCAAUUGAUAUUUCUAAAUUGUGAACUUUAAGUUAGUUUAGAUUAUUUUUAAUGAUAGUUUUUCCCUUUUUGCUUUUGAGGCGGCCAUUAGGUUGAAAGUCUAUUUAUCAUAUAAAACUUGAUGCGUUUUGCACUACUCUCUCCAUUUGUAUGCUGCAGAUAACUACAGUCUUUCAAAUGUGGAAAAUAAGCAGUCUAAAGUUGGUUUUAAAUUCUAAAUCUUUUAAAAAUCUGAAUAUAUUGCAAAUGUCAUGAGGUUGCAUUCAGUAACGAGGUGGAGGAGGGCGGACCUGGAGGAAGACGCUUGACCCUCUGUCUUUCGCUUGGGAGACUGUACAUCCAGUUCACCCAAGGGUGUGGUGGGGUGAGCACCACUUUUGGCUUACGUGCUCAGUCCCCUGACUCACUUAACCUUGACGGGAAAGAUUUGCCUGAAAAACUG